rnacentral:misc_RNA from 1 species
GAUGAAGAACGUAGCGAAAUGCGAUAAGUAGUGUGAAUUGCAGAAUUCAGUGAAUCAUCGAAUCUUUGAACGCACAUUGCGCCCCUUGGUAUUCCAUGGGGCAUGCCUGUUCGAGCGUCAUUUGUACCCUCAAGCUCUGCUUGGUGUUGGGCGUCUGUCCUGCCUCACGGCGCGGACUCGCCUCAAAUCUAUUGGCGGCCGGCACGUUGGCUUCGAGCGCAGCAGAAACGCGAACUCGAGACCGGCGGAUCGGCUCCCAGAAGCUACCCCCAUGAAUUUGACCUCGGAUCGGGUAGGACUACCCGCUGAACUUAAGCAUAUCAAUAAGCGGAGGA